ACAUGCUCCUAGACCGUGGGAUAGUGUGUGGCACAGUGGGAUUCUGAAAGGCCCAGGGGACAGAUGUGAUCUUCCUGGAUCCCACAGUGAGGUGUACUGCCCAAGAAAGUGUUGAUAACACUUGGGGACAGAGUAGUCAUUUGCUGUUUUUAUCAGCGAGGAGGCCCACAGAGAGGCUUUGAGGUUCCUGAAGACCAGAAGGAGCUACACAAACAUGUUGGGGGUGGUGACCUCUCGGUGAUUCUAAGAGACCUUGGAACCCCUCUUCUUGGCACAAAACAAGAAAGGACAAGGACAUCUUGGGUCUUACACUGUAACACGAAUAUUGACAGAGAGAGACAGAGCAUGAACGGGGGAGGGGCAG